CCCUGUGCCCCCGCCCGUCAAACGCCAUCACCCCGGCCACCUGCGCCUAGGCGCCUACCCCUGCCGCGCCGCCCGCCGCCCGCCUGCCCCACCCCACGGCCAUGGUCGAGCGCCCCUCCUCCCCGGCAGCUCGCUGCGCCCGCCCCUGCCCCCCGGCGGCGGAGCUCCGUGCGCGCGGGCGGGCGCCCGUCCCUGCCCCGGUGGGCACGCGCGCGGGCGGGCCGGCGCGUGGCAGCGACGACGGUCGGAGGAGGCCGCCGCGUCCAUGGCAGUAGCGGGAAGAGGAGCAGCUCGGGCCGGCCGCACCUCUCUCUGCCCCCUGCGGCGCUCGGCGUGGAUCUACGACGGCGGCGAGGAUCUGUAGCGGCGGCGCUCGGCGAGGCGUGGCACGGACGAUCCGCUACGACUCGGCGCAGGCGCCCGCCCCUCUCCGCGCGCGCACGCGCCGCAGGCAAGAUCCGGCUCCGCGCGGGCGAGCUCCGCCGUCUCCACGGGCGCGCGAGCGCGAGCUCCGCCGUCCCCGUCGCGCGGGCGAGAUCUAUGGUGGUCCCCUCCGCGCUUCCUCCCCGGCUCCGACGCCUCCGCCGCCGCCACGGGCGAGAUCCGGCUCUGCGCUGGUGGCGAGGGCCGCGGCCAUGGGGCUUCUGCCUGGCCGCGCUCGCGGUUCUCGCCGCUGACACCGGCAAGGGCUGGGCCCGAAACUCCUACAGCAACUACACCCAGUUCCGGUGCUCGGAGGUGUUGAACGUGAUCAGCUUCGUGUACUCGGUGUGAGCUCACGCACAGAGAACACACACAAGAACAGUAGUAUUCACAUAUUCGACUUUAAUACCUUCGCAUUUCACAGCUUCAACUUCCAACAUAAAAGCUUACAUUUUUUUGUGAAAGGGGUAGCUGAGGUUUGGUUCAAUUUUUUUUGCGAGACAGAGUAUAUUGCGGCGGCGACAGCAUGUUGCCAGGGAGUUUGGCUGGGGCGGCUGCUGGCAGAGCUCACCGGAGAAGAAGCUCGGGCACCCAUCCUGAUGGUGGACAACCAGUCAGCCAUCGUUUAGCAAAAAACCCCGUCCACCACGACCGGAGCAAGCACAUCGACACCAAGUAUCACUUCAUCUGUGAUUGCGUCGAUGGUGGACAGAUCAGGCUCGAGUAUGUCGAGAUAGUUCGACAGCUCGGGGUCAUCCUCACCAAACCACUUGGGCGCGUUCGACUCACAGAGUUGAGGACCAAGAUUGGAGUUGAGGAAAUCAAGCAAGAGCAGUGCAAUUAGGGAAAUGAUUGUUAGAUAAUUACCCUUGCUCUCGCUUGUCAUCAUGCUUGAACAGUAGUGGGAGCUCCUGCUCCUGUGCUUGCCAUGCCUGGUCUUUUGACUUGGGCGGCAGAUGGCUGUAGCAUAUAAUAGUGGCUGCAAGUUACUAUAUGGCAGCAUGGUAGCAAUAGUUGUAGCAGUAGCAAGUAAUAGUAGAGGCUGCAUUACACUGUAGCCAUACCCUGUACAUUGACUGGCUGUGUCUAUAAAAAGGAGAGUAGCUGUAGCUUACAAGAUUAAGCAGCUCCACUUCGUGUGCUCUUCCUGAGUCCUUCUUCCUCAUCUUCUUCCUCCACCUGCAAGCAAGAGGGUGUUGUGUGUGUGUGUGUGAGGGAGUGCCAACAAUCCAUAGCCAAAUUCACCUCCACGAGUACACUGAUUUCAAGUCACCUGCUCCUAGCCAAAAUCACCUCCCGCUAGAUACACCAGUUUAAAGCAUGUUUGAAAGUGCUGCUCAUGUUUGCUGGACAAUUAACUACCAGCAUGUUUUGAGGCCCCAUUUGAAAUGAUGGGUCUAUGCACUAACAUUUCAACCAUCAUAUAAUUACAUGGUAUGUCUUGAACUCAGGAAUUUAGAAAGGGAGUAUCAAUGAGAUGAGGUCCUUGAAGGAUUGCUUGGUCAAGGAGCAGUAUUCAGGACUGACCACUAUUGGGGCAAGGAACUGGUUGAGAACCUUUCAUUCUUCUCCGAACCACUAGAAUAACUAAUCUAUACUAUAAGGAACCACCCUAAUACAAUUUUGGGUGAAGGAGGUGCCUUCUUUCAUGUUCAUGUAAAAAUAUACCGAUUGUGAAAUGAUCAUUCAUAAACCACCAGGUGACCACCGUGUUAGUAUUAGCAGGUUAGUGGAUUAUUGCUAUGGUUCUAUUUUCUGAUUAACAUCUUAGAUUGCAGCAUAAGUUUUUCAUAAAUGGUUCAUGUUUUGCCAAAAUGGAUGCAACUGAUGCAUAGAAAGUUUGCUAUUGGGCCCUUGCAAAAAGUUACUUUUAAAAGUUACUGUCAAAUCAAAGAUUCCAUUGUUGGUUGCUGCAAAGCAAAGUCAAAUAUCUGCUUUCAUCCUGAUGUCUGCACUACUAUGUAUAUCAUAUAUAUCAGGUAGAAAAGCUAGGUUGUGAUGUGCUCAAUACUGCCAUGCUAGGAACAAAGAUGGAGCCUACAGCUAUGCCAUGUAUUUUAUCCAUAUAGUGAUAUUUGCAUUUUAAGCUAUAUUAUGUUCCCUAAAUUAUAAGUUCUGUAUGGUCUUACUCUAUUUUGAUGUUUAAAUUUCUUUUUUCUUUUACAUGACAGGGCAUUCAUCAAGCAAUGGCCUGCAUGGUUAUAUGCCUUUCACUGGCUUCAUUAGACCGUGGAAGAUAUUGUAAGUUUCUGUUUCUGCUUGAUUCUCUCUCAAUUCCUGGGUCAAUAAUUGAUUAACUUAAUCAUUUGUAAGUAUAUUAAGUGCUUCUGAAUAAAACUAUGCACAGUUCAGAGGCUCCUUUUUGCUAAAGGUAUAUGUUGUGAAAGAUAGAUAGUCUUUUCACUAACCUAUUUAGUAGAGGUCUGUACUACUUUUUGGCAUCUGUAAACGUUGAAUGCCUUGAUCUGCCAAGAAAUUGUGCAAAGCUUGAAAAAAGUUGCUUGGUUGAGGUUGAAAAUGGUAUGGGAUGAAAAAUCUCACUUCAAAAUUCUAUAAAAUUAAAAUUUACUACAUAUUGAAGGCUUGAUUGUAGCUGUAGGUACUCUGAGAGUAAUAUAGAUGGAAAUAACAGGGUAAUAGACACAAUAAUCACUUCAAGUGAAUAAUAGUCAGGGAAGUUCACCUGAGAUAUCUUUAAAUCUUUUCCUCCAUUCUAGCUAUGUGAUUGCAGUGAAGUUCCAAUACAAUCAGGUACAUUCUCCCCAACAAGUGUUGAAUCAGCUGUCACAGAAUUAUAUGAAACUAUAAUUUGCUUGCUUCUGUUUAUUUCCUAGUUACUUGUGGAUGCAUUUCGUAAGAUCCCAAAAGCCAGCUGGAAUGCGAAAGGGAAUGGAUAUUACCUCCCUCAUGUUUGUCAACAGCAGAGGAUGUUCUUUGUUCCGUACCAGGAUUAGCUGUGGAGGUCAAAAAAACCCCUGAACCCCUGCCCCAUCCUUACACAGCGGCACCGUAGCCCAUGUGAGACGACCACGACCGGGGCCGGGCCUUAGACCUGUGCUUUGGCCAUGGGACAGAUGAGGGGAUUUUUUUAACCUCAGCCUGAAAUUCGCUCCCACGGGGAGUCGAACCCAACACCUGAGGAGUGCCGCUGGGUUCCUCUAACCAUCUCAGCCAUACUGGGAUGGUCACUGCAUGGAAAAAGUAUUUUCAUAGCAUGGCACAACAUUUCAACAUCACAAUCCACGAAACAUUAUGCUUGUGUGGUCCAUGUGUUAGCCCGUGCAGGAAAUCUCGAGCAAGUGUUGGAAUUCAUAUAUAAGAAAUUUAAGGCUGGGGCCGAGCUUCUAUUCCGUGUAUUGGGUUGCAAAUCCAAGAGUUACAGUGACAUACAAGAAGUCUCUGGUACUGUGUUCUUAUUGAGAAUUUUUGGAGCCUAAUUUACAAUAGUACAUAGUAUUAUUUUCUAAAGCCUUACUAAUCCUUCUCUAGAUAAUAAGAAUCAACGAUAGAGCUCAUUUCUUAAACCUACUGCAUUUACUUUUACUAGCAUAUGUAAUUAGUACAAGAAGAUGCAGUAAUUUAGUUUAGGAACUAUACACAUUAUCUAACUUUUGAGAUAUUUGGAGUGACUCUUCAGUAUAUUUAGUCAAAUGAUGUGGUCUGUUCAAAUAAGCUUUGGCAUGCUAAUUGUUUGUGUGGCAAAUGCCGGUUCAGGAUCUCUGCAACUGGUGCCGCAAAAAAUAUUUACAAAAGACUGAAUUUGUUUUACCUCAGAAUGGGUUAUGAACUUAGGCAACAUAUCAUGUGCAAACCAACCCAUUCGUGCAACGGUGCGCGAAUAGGUUGGUUUGCACCUGAUACGUCGCCAUGAACUUAUCAUAAAUAGUUAAUAUGUUUUCUCUCCCUGCAAUUUUUAUAUUGGAUAAUGAACAAUAAAGAUUAUGUCUGAAUUAAUAUUACACUAUAUCUUUUCAUAGGAGCAUUAAACAACAUACCAGGUUGUGAUAGACUCACAUUUGCUUAGCUGGUAUUCAUGCAUGCAGUUUCCUCUGAGUUACCAGUUUUCAUGGAUGUGAAUUAGAUGACCACUGUGGAAAAUGGAGUGAGUGGAGCGCACGGUGAUGCAGGGGUCUCAUCCCUUGUUACUCCUUUUUUUUACCCAACUUAGUACCCAAUACAUAAUAAAUAAUAUUCAUGUAUUUUGAGUCAAUAUGUUCCAUGAAUGUCCCAUGUAUUUCAUCAUUACUAGAAUCACGCGUGGGGUCGCCGCGCUAAAUAGCCCUUCUGGGAGACCUCGAGAUGUUGACAGUUGAGUAUGAAGAUUUGUAUGAAGCAGGUUGGAGAGCACUGAUGAGAUAUAUUGAAAAGCUAUUGCCAACCAUGCUUCAGAUGCCACAAGGCCGGAUGCCGUCAGUAGAUUGGAGAAGAGCAAGUGGGCAGGGUGUAUUUUGUCAUGAGAUCUCGAUCGGACGGUGAAUGAUAUUUUACUGACGUGGCUGAAUUCCUGAUCGCUGUUGCGACCAGGUUUAAGUCAGUAAAGAUUCCCAUAUUUGAUUUGAUUCACUAAUUCGUUUGCUAAUCUAUAUUCGGAAAUAUAAAGAUUGACUAUUGACUCGGUAUUGUAAUAUAAGGAAAUAAGGAAUCGCAAUGUAUUGUAAAUGAUAACAUUUUCCCUAUGAUCGGUUGUCAA